GGCCAGAGGACUUGAUGUGAUUCCAACAACAAUAUCCCGUUUCCGCAAUGGUGGUGAUAGUGAAACAGCUGAGUUACUGGAGAAUGUGGUGUAUCCAGAAGAAAUAACUCACUGCGCUGCAGGAGUCAAAUGGUUCAAGUAUCUUUGCGUAAGAUCAAAAAAUCCAAAUCUGAGUGAUAUUCCUUCAGAAGAAACUAGUAAUGUAGACAAUGAAGUGAUUCAAAAGUUCCAUUCCACUGUGAGGACAUAUUUCAGAGGGCCAUUGAAA
rnacentral:misc_RNA from 1 species